rnacentral:rRNA from 1 species
CCUACGGGAGGCAGCAGUAGGGAAUGUUGCGCAAUGGGCGAAAGCCUGACGCAGCAACGCCGCGUGAUGGAUUAAGGCCUUCGGGGUGUAAAGAUCUGUCAGUGGGGACGAAACUUGACGGUACCCACAGAGGAAGCACCGGCGAACUCCGUGCCAGCAGCCGCGGUAAUACGGAGGGUGCAAGCGUUGUCCGGAAUCAUUGGGCGUAAAGGGUUCGUAGGUGGGAUAUGAAGUCUGGUGUUAAAUGCCGAGGCUCAACCCCUGUUCGGCACUGGAUACUGGUAAGCUUGAGUGCGGUAGAGGUAAGGGGAAUGCCUGGUGUAGCGGUGAAAUGCGUAGAUAUCAGGCGGAACAUCGGUGGCGAAAGCGCUUUACUGGGCCGUAAUUGACACUGAGGAACGAAAGCCGGGGUAGCAAAUGGGAUUAGAUACCCCAGUAGUC